UUUCCGUAGGUGAACCUGCGGAAGGAUCAUUACAGAGUUCAUGCCCUCACGGGUAGAUCUCCCACCCUUGAAUAUUUAUACCUUAGUUGCUUUGGCAGGCCGUGGAAACACCAUGGGCUCCGGCUUAUGCGUGCCUGCCAGAGGAAACAAACUCUGUUUUUAGUGAUGUCUGAGUACUAUAUAAUAGUUAAAACUUUCAACAACGGGUCUCUUGGUUCUG
rnacentral:misc_RNA from 1 species